rnacentral:rRNA from 1 species
UACGUAGGGUGCGAGCGUUGUCCGGAAUUAUUGGGCGUAAAGGGCUCGUAGGCGGUUUGUCGCGUCUGCUGUGAAAACUGGAGGCUCAACCUCCAGCCUGCAGUGGGUACGGGCAAACUAGAGUGCGGUAGGGGAGAUUGGAAUUCCUGGUGUAGCGGUGGAAUGCGCAGAUAUCAGGAGGAACACCGGUGGCGAAGGCGGUUCUCUGGGCAUGACCUGACGCUGAGGAGCGAAAGUGUGGGGAGCGAACAGG